rnacentral:rRNA from 1 species
UACCAGCACCCCGAGUGGUCGGGACGUUUAUUGGGCCUAAAGCAUCCGUAGCCGGUUCUACAAGUCUUCCGUUAAAUCUACCUGCUCAACAGAUGGGCUGCGGAAGAUACUAUGGAGCUAGGAGGCGGGAGAGGCAAGCGGUACUCGAUGGGUAGGGGUAAAAUCCGUUGAUCCAUUGAAGACCACCAGUGGCGAAGGCGGCUUGCCAGAACGCGCUCGACGGUGAGGGAUGAAAGCUGGGGGGAGCAAACCAGG